rnacentral:rRNA from 1 species
GGUUAAGCGACUAAGCGUACACGGUGGAUGCCCUGGCAGUCAGAGGCGAUGAAGGGCGUACUAAUCUGCGAUAAGCGCCGGUAAGGUGAUAUGAACCGUUAUAACCGGCGAUACCCGAAUGGGGAAACCCAGUGUGAUUCGUCACACUAUCAUUAACUGAAUCCAUAGGUUAAUGAGGCGAACCGGGGGAACUGAAACAUCUAAGUACCCCGAGGAAAAGAAAUCAACCGAGAUUCCCCCAGUAGCGGCGAGCGAACGGGGAGGAGCCCAGAGCCUGAAUCAGCAUGUGUGUUAGUGGAAGCGUCUGGAAAGGCGCGCGAUACAGGGUGACAGCCCCGUACACAAAAGCGCAUGUGCUGUGAGCUCGAUGAGUAGGGCGGGACACGUGGUAUCCUGUCUGAAUAUGGGGGGACCAUCCUCCAAGGCUAAAUACUCCUGACUGACCGAUAGUGAACCAGUACCGUGAGGGAAAGGCGAAAAGAACCCCGGCGAGGGGAGUGAAAAAGAACCUGAAACCGUGUACGUACAAGCAGUGGGAGCACCCUUUGGGUGUGACUGCGUACCUUUUGUAUAAUGGGUCAGCGACUUAUAUUCUGUAGCAAGGUUAACCGAAUAGGGGAGCCGGAGGGAAACCGAGUCUUAACCGGGCGUUAAGUUGCAGGGUAUAGACCCGAAACCCGGUGAUCUAGCCAUGGGCAGGUUGAAGGUUGGGUAACACUAACUGGAGGACCGAACCGACUAAUGUUGAAAAAUUAGCGGAUGACCUGUGGCUGGGGGUGAAAGGCCAAUCAAACCGGGAGAUAGCUGGUUCUCCCCGAAAGCUAUUUAGGUAGCGCCUCGUGAAUUCAUCUCCGGGGGUAGAGCACUGUUUCGGCUAGGGGGCCAUCCCGGCUUACCAACCCGAUGCAAACUGCGAAUACCGGAGAAUGUUAUCACGGGAGACACACGGCGGGUGCUAACGUCCGUCGUGAAGAGGGAAACAACCCAGACCGCCAGCUAAGGUCCCAAAGUCAUGGUUAAGUGGGAAACGAUGUGGGAAGGCCCAGACAGCCAGGAUGUUGGCUUAGAAGCAGCCAUCAUUUAAAGAAAGCGUAAUAGCUCACUGGUCGAGUCGGCCUGCGCGGAAGAUGUAACGGGGCUAAACCAUGCACCGAAGCUGCGGCAGCGACACUGUGUGUUGUUGGGUAGGGGAGCGUUCUGUAAGCCUGUGAAGGUGUGUCGUGAGGCAUGCUGGAGGUAUCAGAAGUGCGAAUGCUGACAUAAGUAACGAUAAAGCGGGUGAAAAGCCCGCUCGCCGGAAGACCAAGGGUUCCUGUCCAACGUUAAUCGGGGCAGGGUGAGUCGACCCCUAAGGCGAGGCCGAAAGGCGUAGUCGAUGGGAAACGGGUUAAUAUUCCCGUACUUGGUGUUACUGCGAAGGGGGGACGGAGAAGGCUAUGUUGGCCGGGCGACGGUU